UGGCUGCAGCUGAUUGAGUCCAAGUACCUGCAGGGCCAGCCCCUCUUGGCUUGCUUGCACUCGGCUGGGUCCCAGUUUUGGAAAUCUGUCCAGGCCAUCAAGGAUGAGAUUAGGCUGGGUUUGCGGUUCUCGGUUGGUAAUGGGUCUGGGACCCAAUUUUGGUUGGACCCCUGGCUUGAUGAGGAGCCUCUUCGCAUGCGGUUUCUAAGGCUCUUUGCGAUUUUUUACGACCCAGCUGUUCUUGUUUCUGUGGGUGCUUUGGAUGAGGGAUGGAACAUUGUGUUCCGCCACUCAUUCGGACCAACUGAGGUGCAGGAAUGGGCAGACUUGAGGGAAGUAGUCCCUCUUCCUUUGUCCUAG
rnacentral:rRNA from 1 species